GUAUGCAAUGUUGAGAUUGUAUGAUACAGUAUGUAAUAGUUGGUACUUGGUAGUAUAAUUUCUCUAUUAUUUCAUUUGUCUAUUGUAGGCUCAAGCUGAGAGACUUCUCAUUGAAGGACAAAGUGCUAUUGAAUUGGCUAAGUUAAAGGCAGAAGCAACAAGAAUUGAAAUGGAGGCCGAACUUACUUGUCAAACUAAAAUGCAAGAGGCUGAGGUUCAGUUGUU